rnacentral:rRNA from 1 species
AGGACGAACGCUGGCGGCGUGCUUAACACAUGCAAGUCGAACGGGCUCGUGGCACUUGUGUUGCGGGUUAGUGGCGAACGGGUGAGUAACACGUGAGUAACCUGCCCCAGACUCUGGGAUAACUCCGGGAAACCGGUGCUAAUACUGGAUAUGACAUCAAGCCGCAUGGUUAUGGUGUGGAAAGUUUUUCGGUCUGGGAUGGGCUCGCGGCCUAUCAGCUUGUUGGUGAGGUAGUGGCUCACCAAGGCGACGACGGGUAGCCGGCCUGAGAGGGCGAUCGGCCACACUGGGACUGAGACACGGCCCAGACUCCUACGGGAGGCAGCAGUGGGGAAUAUUGCACAAUGGGCGCAAGCCUGAUGCAGCGACGCCGCGUGAGGGAUGAAGGCCUUCGGGUUGUAAACCUCUUUCAGCAGGGGAGAAGCCGUUCGGGUGACGGUACCUGCAGAAGAAGCACCGGCUAACUACGUGCCAGCAGCCGCGGUAAU